AACAUCUCAAAAGGACGCAAUACACAUUUUUGCGCUUUAUGGAAGAAAAACGUUAUUUUUAUUGGAAAUGCAAGCUUAAAAUGAUGCAUUCAUCAAUCGUGUUUAUUUUAAUCUAUGAAUUAGAUAUCCAGCUUUCACAGCAACAAAUUGAGAAUUAAAAACAUUUCGAAAAUUUUCAAUGUCGAUUUUCUCAAAAGCAAGCAACUGUACUAACGCCCUUCUGAAAAAUCGUCCUAGAUGUGUAUUUCAUCCUGCCAAGGAAUUCAAACUGAAAAAUGAAAAAACUACAGUUUAACUUCACCAGGCACAAUCAUCAGAAUGAGAUGCAUAAAAAAAUAAACCCAGAAUGGUUUCAUUUUACCGUCCAGUAUGAAAAACAUUUCAAAAAUGAUAAUUGUGUAUGCCAAAAAGGUUUUGUGCGGAUCUGCGAAUUAGGUUUUUGUAGAAUAAUUCGACCAAGGGCUAUGACGUAGCAGCGGUGGAGAGUAAGUCCAAUCAUACGGUUUCAUCCCACCCCGGGAGCAGAUGUGCGCUGGCGAAUGUUCUCAGCCACCUGGAGGAGGAAGUUCAGCGCGGAAGAAAUGUUACCAGACUUCGCCGAUCUGGUAUCUGUACUUUUUUUGAUAAUCUCAUAGAGAUUGGGUGUGCAGAUGGGCGGUUCGGGGAGGGAACGACUGGUAAAUUUAAGGAUAUAUAUGAAGCUGAAAACACCCACAACAAUGGGGUAACUAACAUAAAGCUCGCCGGUGACAAAGUGAUAGUCGCACGGUUGAGUGAACGAAUCGAUUUUCUAAGACUGGAAACGUACACGUAAGGUUGUCAGAUCGAUUGGGGAUUUACGUCUGCAUAUGGGCGAACCCACGUACGCACCGGUUCGGCAGGAAGCAUUAGUUUAUUUCAGCAAUCCGCCGGCUCAAAUCCGUCCACAGCGUUGCCAGCUCAACAUCACGCAUCCGAGGAGGAGCUUCAAUGUAUCCUGGAGUUUCACCAGCAGGGUCACCGGUGACAUGUUUGGAAGUGUCGGGCGGUACAGUCAUUACUGGCAGCCAGGGCCACACUGUUGAAGUGUUCCGGCUCGAUAGCCACCUAUUGCAGUUCACCCUAAACGGCCAUUGCGGUCCUAUCACAUGUAUUUUCAUAGACCAGUGGCAGGCCGAGAUGGGCGCAUCUGGUUGCCAGGAUGGUGUGCUAUGUGUGUGGGACUUGAUACGGUGUGCCUGUAUGUACAAAAUUUAAGCCCAUGACGACUCAAUCGUCGCACUUGCCUGUUCCCCGAGUUACGCAAUAUCGCUCGGACUGAACGAACGAAUACGAUAGAUUUCAGGGUCAGCCGCUCAACAUCAUGACCGUCAGUCAUGCAUAUUCAUCGCUUGUGAUGCUGACGCCGUCCCUUCUCGUGACUGGAAAGCCAGCCCGAAUAGAAAUACACAACAGUAUUACAGCAUUUUUUAUUGUUAUAUUACAACGAAAAACAAUGUUAUUCUGGAAAAUUUACAAUGGAAAUAUAAUCACAUUUGUUGUUUCUACAUCCAAUUUCAUUGUAAACCCGAUUUUUACAUGGAAAAAGGGGGGUCGUUAAGGGAUGUGAAAAUUGAUCUUUUCCCAUACAUUCUGAAAUCAAAAACAUCGAUUUACAUUGUUUUUCCGUUGUAGAUUUUGGAGGCAUGAAGGACUGCAUCAUAAGUAUAUUGAUGUUACAACAAAAGUUGUUGUUAACAAAUAAAACUGUUGUAAAUUCAACGUGUCUACGAUCGAUUUCGAUAUUACUUUCUGUUCGGGAGCUUAGUCGAAGAUAACUUUCGUAGAAAAAUAUUCAAUCUAGUCUCAUCACAUUUAGGUUCACUAGUUGUAUGGGACGACAAUACUGGAGAUGUAGCUCGGGAAGUCAGGCUUGACUGUUCCAAUUCACAGCUAAGUCCGAAGAUUAUGCUACCUGCCAGUGGUUUG